rnacentral:rRNA from 1 species
CAGCAGCCACGGUAAUACGAAGGGUGCAAGCGUUAAUCGGAAUUACUGGGCGUAAAGCGUGCGUAGGCGGUGAGUUAAGUCUGCUGUGAAAUCCCCGGGCUCAACCUGGGAAUGGCAGUGGAUACUGGCUCGCUAGAGUGUGUCAGAGGAUGGUGGAAUUCCCGGUGUAGCGGUGAAAUGCGUAGAGAUCGGGAGGAACAUCAGUGGCGAAGGCGGCCAUCUGGGACAACACUGACGCUGAGGCACGGAAGCGUGGGGAGCGAACAGGAUUAGAUACCCCCGUAGUCCCUGUCUCUUAUAC